CGGAUGCCGAUCUCGAAAACCUGUCCCAGUUCGGACUGGAGUCUGCAACCCGACUCCACGAAGUUGGAUUCGCUAGUAAUCGCGCAUCAGCCAUGGCGCGGUGAAUACGUUCCCGGGCCUUGUACACACCGCCCGUCAAGCCAUGGGAGCCGGGGGGCGCCUGAAGUCCGGGACCGCGAGGACCGGCCUAAGGCGAAACUGGUGACUGGGGCUAAGUCGUAACAAGGUAAC
rnacentral:rRNA from 1 species